UACGAAGGGGGCUAGCGUUGCUCGGAAUCACUGGGCGUAAAGCGCACGUAGGCGGAUUGUUAAGUCAGGGGUGAAAUCCUGGAGCUCAACUCCAGAACUGCCUUUGAUACUGAAGAUCUUGAGUUCGGGAGAGGUGAGUGGAACUGCGAGUGUAGAGGUGAAAUUCGUAGAUAUUCGCAAGAACACCAGUGGCGAAGGCGACUCACUGGCCCGAUACUGACGCUGAGGCACGAAAGCGUGGGGAGCAAAGCAGG
rnacentral:rRNA from 1 species